GUUCUAAGGGAAAAGCUGUUCCUCAGUCUGCUGGUUAUUGUUAUAUUCUACAGUGCUUCGCGGAAAUCACGCACUGGACCUUUAAGAUGUUGUAAUAUGGUGGUGGCGUUGCUGUGGUUACUGGUUACCAUAGUCCAUGGCAUUCUAAAAAAAGAAUGUGUUUGAAAAAUGCCCGCUGACGAAGAGAAACUGCAGUAAGUGUCUGACCAUCGCUAGACAUUAAAGGUUGGAGUGGAGCAGAAAAAAGACUUGCAAGGGGAAUGGUGGAGAUAUAGUUGAAGACCUGGAGCUCAGCAAACAGAGUGGAGUGGAGACACUAGGGCAUCACACAUCUCAGGAAUGAUAAGAAACCGAUGGUCAGUUAUCACCUAUUCACUAAGAUGGCCUUCCAAGAAUAAGGGGGUGGAGGUGGGCUUAGAUAGUUAGAUGUUUUGUUUGUGGCAGGCGUUUCUUUUUUCAGGUAAUGGACCCGCAUCAUGCAAAAGAAGGAAACUCAAGAGCAUCAUUGGAGAUUUAUCUGAAGAACACUGGAGAAUAUCCCGGUUGUGAAUAUAACCCAUUUUCCCUGAAGAUGGGAAAGGAGACGCGUGUCUACCGACACUUUAGGAGUUCGAUAGAUGACCAUUCACAAUCAAGAGUAAUUCAUCAUUAGUAGAGUAUAUUACCAGGGCACACGGAGCGAGCCGCUAGACUUUUGCCGAUGAAGAGCCAAACACUCAGCCAUCAACUGGAGACCCAGCUGCAGUGGCAAUGGAGACACACAAAUUUUCCCAUCUUCGGGGAAUGUGGGUUUCGUAACCUGAUGGUCCCCUUUAGUGGUAACUAUGGCGUGUGUCUACCAACACUUUGGGAGGAAAACGCCACAGCAGCUGAGCCCAUCACACUCCUGAUGUGAAGUUUGCCAAGCUUAUUAGCAUGAGUGCACAAGCAUCACCAUAGGGUGUAACCUUCUAACGUCCCCUAGGUUCUUUAAUUAACAGAAUAUGGGAAUAAUUUGAGAAUUUAGGAUUGGGGGGGUCGUAAAUAUGCUUUUUACCUAGCUAGCUGUAGUCUAGGGUUUUUAAACAUACAACAGUAUGUUGGAAAAGCAUGCCAGUCCCAAUGGGGAAGGACACUGCGGAGGCCACCUGCUACCCAAGGGGAAACUAGGUGACAGUAUGAACAUAUGGGCCUGCCCUGUCCAGGGGGAGUGAUACAUAUGAUAAACUAGUAAGCGGGUAGGGAAGAAAACCGCCUGAGAAGGCGGAACACUCUGUGGCCCAAUGACACGUAUGGGAUUGUUAAUAGGGAUCAUGCAUAGCUGGCACUGAUCCCCAGCUUGUGGAUAGACCAAGCGGGCAUACCAGACAUGGAACUGGGCCAGGCACCUGGCCAUCGUGAAGAGUGUGAGUUUUGAAACCCAGGAUCUGGUUGGGCCAGUGAGGUGCAACUAACAAGACCUGCUCUUUGUCCUCCCUGACCUUGCAUAGAGCCUGUGCGAGUAGGCUCACUGGGAAAAGUGCUUAUAUGCACAUGCCUGGGGGCCAGCUGUGGGGCAAUGCAUCCAUGCUGAGGGGGGCCUCGGUCAGGGAAUAAAACAACUGGCAAUGGCCAUUUUUAGGAGAAGCAGCUCUCAUAUUAGCUGGACCGUGCUGGGAUGGAGUCUCCAUUCUCCUCAAGACCUCAGCUGCCGUGAGCGCGCAUCAGCUGCAUGGUUGAGCUUUCCCGGGAUGUGAUUGGCACACAGCGGUUUUAACCCUGUAUGACUCCAGGGGGCAGAUGGCGAGCGAGCUGAGACAUGUAAUGGGAGCGAAUACCACCCAUACGGUUGAUAUACGCCACCGUUUCCGUGCUGUCCGUCCUGACCAGCGCAUGUUUCUGCUCCAGGACCAGCAAAAAUCAGAGGAGAGUGAGAAACACUGCCAACAGCUCCAGGCAAUUGAUAUGCAAAUGCAAUCAGUGUCCAGUCCAUGAACCCAGAGCAGCAUUCUCAUUACACAUGGAUUCCAGCCCCUGCUGGAAGCAUCUGUCGAGAUGACAACAUGUCUGGACACUUGUUCUAAGGUUAUCCUGGCCUAUGGAAAGGCAUGGUUCGUCAAAGAACUAAGGGGUGUGGAGCCUCUGAAAAAAAAAUUUGUAGGACCACUGUGUUCUUGUUGAGUAGUCUCAGAGAGCACACAUCCUGGCACAUGCUUCUGUGAGGCGUGUCAUCAUUAAGAUAGGAGAUCCCAUCUAUCCCGAGAUCUCUGCACAGUGGAGAGCUUGCUCUUUUUCCGGUUGACCUGAAGCCCCAACUGGUCGAGGUGCUGGAGCACCAUGUCCCUGUGCAUAAUCAAUUAUUUUUUUAUUUUUGUUAUUUCAUAAAAAGGGACAGUGUACAUUAAUCAAUGUUCCUCAAAAAUAUAAAUGUAACCAAAUUAGCCCAAAGACUACUUUUUAUUGGUGGUCCCAUUGCCCGAUCUUAAAGGGCAUGAUAAUAGAAAUACAAAUUCAAACUGAAAACAUACUUAAAUGAACAACAAUAGGAAACAACCACCACAACAACAUCAAAAGCCUAUUGUUCACAGUAUUGACUAUUAAAAGCCAUUGCUUAAAAUUAUACUUAAAUGAUUUAAAGAUACACAUUCAGAUUGUGGUAUCAAAUUCCACUGAUGUGAUGCUUUAAAAAAUAUGCUUGACCAAAAUAACUUUUUCUAAGUGGAAUAAUGCAAUCAGCUCUAUCUGCACUUCUAGUUAUUAUUUUCUACAGAUUUAUAUUUUAAAGAUUCAUAUAGAGGGAGAUGAGAUGACCUAAACCAUGCGUAAUCGUGUAAGCUACGCAACAAUUUUAAACUUAGAGAUGAUUUUCCAAUUAAGCUGUUUAUUGGUUUUCAAAAUAGUACAAAGAUGAAAACUAAAAGGUUUUUUAUCUAAAAUUUUAAGUGUUUAUAUAGUAAUUGCAGAGGUUUUAAAGCUGUAGAUUUUGUGUUAGACCAACUUAUCAGACUAUAAUUGAUAUGAGAGAGGAUCAUAGAAUUUAAAUAUAUUUUUGCAGCCUUAUAUGAUAAAGAAUUUCUAAUAAACCUAAAAUAAACUAUAUUCAGUUUCUGUGUAAAACCUGGAGAAGAACCACCCUCGUGGAGCUCAGCCAGCUUCUGCGCCUGGUAGCGCUGAUGGGUGGCCAUAGCAUGUAAGGCAGAGGCUCCCUACAUGCCUUGGAUAGGAGUCUAGGCUGACCUCUCCAGGUUACGGCGCAUUGCGGGCAAAGAUUGAAUGAAAUGGUGCGCUCCACCUGAGGAAUCGCUUCGUACCUCCUGGCUGCUCCGUCAUCAAGGGUGGCAAGGAUGGCAGCGCAUGAGAACCGGGCAGAAAAAGGUGCCCUCCAUGCCUGCAUGAUUUCACUGUGCACCUCCAAGAAGAAGGGGAUGGAGGUUUGACCCUCUUCUUUGCCCCCACAUAACACUUGUCUUAUCGGUUUGACGGCGGAACUGGGAGACAAGCCAUCUCCAGUCCCACCACUGAAGCAGCCUGGGAUAUCGCGGCCAGCAUGUCCAAUUUCAGGUCUGAGACAUCACUCACAACCCUUGAAGGGCAGGAGCGAUCUGACAGUCAUCAGAACAUGUCAGCCCACUCUUCGAUGCAGCGAUGGACAUCUGGCCCUCUAUGUCAUAAAGUGAGAGUGCUGCCAUCCUGGAGGGAUGCAAGGCCUCACUCACUUAAAGCUUGGACAAAGUGCACUGUGGAGGGGUUGAGGGGUCUGCAGGGCCGAAGGCAACGGAUGAGCCCUUACAGUCAACUUCAUGCCUUCCUGAGUGCUAACCGACUUGCGAGGAACAGCAGGGGUGACGCACCCUAAUGCUAAAGUGUGCUGCGACCUAGGUUGUGCAACAGUCGUGCCCUCGUAAUGAGGGCAUGCAAGCACCGCCCCAACAUGCUAAACCCCAGACAUGUGACACAAUACUUGUGGCCUUCAUCAAGGGAGAGGAAACCACCACACCAAGAAACACAUGGUUGGAUUGUAAAUUGGAAUCUUAAGUUGUUGUUGUAAGUUGGAUCUUUAAAAAAAAUGCUUUGCUCGCCCCUGUUGCUCUUUUAGGCGAAUAUGCUCUUUUAUUUGAAACUGCUCUUUUAGCCACUAGUGAAACACUCAGAGGACAGGAAGUAGACCCUGUUCAGCCGCCGCUGUAUGCGGUGUCACAUGAACUGGAUGGAAUACUGCUUUCUUUCUGGAAGACAGCUUAGCAGAACAUUCUCUUCUUGUGAGGCUCUGAAGCAAAAAGACUAACGGCUCGCUCCAUGUGCACUGGUUAUAUACUCUACUAAUGAUUAAUCACCAGCACCUGUGGAGAUGAGCUAUGCCAAUUCAUAGACAUUCACUGGUGAUUGGUCAUCUACAAACUUCUAAAGUGUCGGUAGACACAUGUCUUAGUUCCCACUGAAGGGGAACAGCUUUUGCAUUACUGGAAAUCAGCAAGCAUGUAGAGCUCUGUUGGUCUUGACUUUGUCUUUUACAGACUGGAGUCCAGCAUGUGGAGAAAAAUAGGAAUCAUACAGCUGAGCAAUGAUUGGAAACUGAUAAUCAGGAAUAUCCUUCAAAGGCAGAUAGAUGGGUGCAUGAAUCAAUGUCCUUUUUAAGAGGAAGGGAGUGGUGGUGGACAUAGAUUUCUAGAUGUCUUCUCUGUGGCAGUUAUUUAAAUUGUAGCUAAUGGAACCACAAUAGGCAGAAGAAGGAGACUCACAAGAGCAUUGUUAAAAAAUCAUAGAGAACAGCAUUGUUCAUUCAUGAUACAUUCGAGUAGCAUUACCAGAAUAAAGACGUUAUUCUCUAUGUACAACCGAAUCAACGCUUGCGAAAGCAAUGUAGUUUAAUCCAUAACUGACACAUAUGCAUCUAUAAUACUUU